GCGGGAUUCUGCGGCGCCAAGAAGCGGGGCUGACCCGGCACUGGGUUGUUCUCAGAGUGUCAUCUUGGAACCCUAGGAGUUCCUGAAUGAAGUUGAAAGCGGAUCUUUUCCCCAUUAAAACUUCUAAUGUGGAUUUAGCCCCAGGAAAUGCCUGAAUUGCAGCCUGGUGUGAUCCUAAGCAGAAAACCCAGUGGACUGUGAUGAACCCUCAGAACAACUGAAGGUAUCAACACUACUGAAAGUUAUUAGGCACUUCAAAGGCGGUGUGACCCAACCUGGUGGAGAAAAGCCUUUUCUUCCUCCUCAGUGCAAGCCAGACCUGUGGUAUUUGCAUAUAAUGGGUAGAAGAAAUAAGCUGCAGCAGACUUUGGAGCUUGAACGUGAUGGCACCACCAAUGCACUCACUGUGCUAAGUCUGCACACUAAGAAACCACAUCCCACAACAUUGCCAGUGAAGCUCAGACCAUCGGUUUCCUCAACCACUAAUUUUAAUCUGCAAGA